rnacentral:rRNA from 1 species
UACGAAGGGGACUAGCGUUGUUCGGAAUUACUGGGCGUAAAGCGCACGUAGGCGGAUUUGUUAGUCAGGGGUGAAAUCCCGGGGCUCAACCUCGGAACUGCCUUUGAUACUGCAAGUCUCGAGUCCGAUAGAGGUGGGUGGAAUUCCUAGUGUAGAGGUGAAAUUCGUAGAUAUUGGGAAGAACACCCAGUGGCGAAGGCGGCUCACUGGCUCGUAACUGACGCUCAGGCGCGACAGCGUGGGGAUCAAACAGG